GGUCCUACGGGGGGCAGCAGUGAGGAAUAUUGGUCAAUGGGCUAAGGCCUGAACCAGCCAAGUCGCGUGAGGGAAGACGGUCCUAUGGAUUGUAAACCUCUUUUGUCGGGGAGCAACGAGGCCACGUGUGGCCGAAGUGAGAGUACCCGAAGAAAAAGCAUCGGCUAACUCCGUGCCAGCAGCCGCGGUAAUACGGAGGAUGCGAGCGUUAUCCGGAUUUAUUGGGUUUAAAGGGUGCGUAGGCGGUCCGUUAAGUCAGCGGUAAAAUUGCGGGGCUCAACCCCGUCGAGCCGUUGAAACUGGCA
rnacentral:rRNA from 1 species